CGCUGGCGGCGUGCCUAAUACAUGCAAGUCGAACGGUCUUUUCUAUGGAAGCUUGCUUCCACUGAGAAGAUAGUGGCGAACGGGUGAGUAACACGUGGGUAACCUGCCCAUAAGAGGGGGAUAACAUCCGGAAACGGGUGCUAAUACCGCAUAGUUUUCUUGAUCGCAUGAUCGGGAAAGGAAAGACGGCCUUUGUGCUGUCGCUUAUGGAUGGACCCGCGGCGUAUUAGUUAGUUGGUGAGGUAACGGCUCACCAAGACGAUGAUACGUAGCCGACCUGAGAGGGUGAUCGGCCACAUUGGGACUGAGACACGGCCCAAACUCCUACGGGAGGCAGCAGUAGGGAAUCUUCCGCAAUGGACGAAAGUCUGACGGAGCAACGCCGCGUGAGUGAAGAAAGGUUUUCGGAUCGUAAAACUCUGUUGUCAGAGAAGAACAAGUUGGAGAGUAACUGCUCCAGCCUUGACGGUAUCUGACCAGAAAGCCACGGCUAACUACGUGCCAGCCGCAGC
rnacentral:rRNA from 1 species